UGCGUAGGCGGACUAAUAAGUCGGUGGUGAAAUCUCUCGGCUCAACCGGGAAACUGCCAUUGAUACUGUUAGUCUUGAGUUCGGUUGAGGUAGGCGGAAUGUGUAAUGUAGCGGUGAAAUGCUUAGAUAUUACACAGAACACCAAUUGCGUAGGCAGCUUACUAGACCGACACUGACGCUGAGGCACGAAAGCGUGGGUAGCGAACAGGAUUAGAUACCCUGGUAGUCC
rnacentral:rRNA from 1 species